rnacentral:rRNA from 1 species
AUUGAACGCUGGCGGCAGGCCUAACACAUGCAAGUCGAGCGGAUGAGUGGAGCUUGCUCCAUGAUUCAGCGGCGGACGGGUGAGUAAUGCCUAGGAAUCUGCCUGGUAGUGGGGGACAACGUUUCGAAAGGAACGCUAAUACCGCAUACGUCCUACGGGAGAAAGCAGGGGACCUUCGGGCCUUGCGCUAUCAGAUGAGCCUAGGUCGGAUUAGCUAGUAGGUGAGGUAAUGGCUCACCUAGGCGACGAUCCGUAACUGGUCUGAGAGGAUGAUCAGUCACACUGGAACUGAGAGACGGUCCAGACUCUGACGGGAGGCAGCAGUGGGGAAUAUUGGACAAUGGGCGAAAGCCUGAUCCAGCCAUGCCGCGUGUGUGAAGAAGGUCUUCGGAUUGUAAAGCACUUUAAGUUGGGAGGAAGGGCAGUAAGUUAAUACCUUGCUGUUUUGACGUUACCAACAGAAUAAGCACCGGCUAACUUCGUGCCAGCCGCCGCCGUAAGAC